CACGUAGGGUGCGAGCGUUGUCCGGAUUUAUUGGGUUUAAAGGGUGCGUAGGCGGCCCUGUAAGUCAGUGGUGAAAUACUGCAGCUUAACUGUAGCAUUGCCAUUGAUACUGUAGGGCUUGAGUACAGAUGAGGUAGGCGGAAUUGAUGGUGUAGCGGUGAAAUGCAUAGAUACCAUCAAGAACACCGAUUGCGAAGGCAGCUUACUAAGCUGUAACUGACGCUGAGGCACGAAAGCGUGGGGAUCGAACAGG
rnacentral:rRNA from 1 species